GGAUCAAUUCUGCUUCACCUCAGAACCCACCAGUUCAGUCCAAAAUGGUCAAAUUUGGCUUGAGAUUUGGGAGUCAUGUCAAUCCAAUGCAUACUUCUGAAUAUGACAGAUGCUCCUACAAUAAAAUAUGGAAGACAUAAAGGAAUACAGACAUGGUCUGUAAGGUUUGGUUUCCUCCUCACUCAGAUUUUUACAUUCUCCCCAUACUUAAGUUCUCUCUAUCAGCUUUACAUUUGAGGGGAAAUUGCUCUUUUAAUAUGUUAAAAUUAUUGUAUAUGUUUUAGUAACCAAAUAAGCUUUCAUACAGCCACUCCAGAUGAGCCUUUGCUUCAUUUAACUUCAUAGGAAUUAAGCCAAAGUUUUAUGAUAAGAUGUACAAGAACAGACUGGCCUUGAAAUCAGUUGAUGUAUAUUUAAAUACCUCUUGCCAGAGAAAAACAAUUGUAAUGUUCAGAACUGUGGGUUUUCUGGAUCUCUGGAGGUCACAGGUUUCAACACAGGCUAUGCAAUCAAGAGGGAAAUACCUCGUAAAAAGCGUUGAAAAGUAGAAGGAUCAAGGAUCUGAAGUUACUCAGCAUAUUAAUGCCAAACCAGCAGCAGCACCAUGGCAACAGAAAGAAGAGUACUUGGCAUGGAAGUCAGGAGCAAGGCAGGCCUUUGAGAGAACACAACAAGUAAAUGAAUGGAAAUAA